CCUACGGGAGGCAGCAGUGAGGAAUAUUGGUCAAUGGGCGGAAGCCUGAACCAGCCAAGUAGCGUGCGGGAUGAAGGCCCUACGGGUCGUAAACCGCUUUUGCACGGGGAUAACACCCUCCACUUGUGGAGGUCUGCAGGUACCGUGCGAAUAAGGGCCGGCUAAUUCCGUGCCAGCAGCCGCGGUAAUACGGAAGGCCCGAGCGUUAUCCGGAUUCAUUGGGCUUAAAGGGAGCGUAGGCGGCCGUUAAAGCCAGCGGUAAAAUCGCGGGGCUCAACCGGGCCCCGCGGUUGAAACUGGGUGCCUUGAGUGCACAAAAGGCAGGCGGAAUUCGUGGUGUAGCGGUGAAAUGCAUAGAUAUCACGAGGAACCCCGAUUGCGAAGGCAGCCUGCCGGGGUGCGACUGACGCUGAGGCUCGAAGGUGCGGGUAUCAAACAGGAUUAGAUACCCGAGUAGUC
rnacentral:rRNA from 1 species